GCCCUAGUAACGGCGAGUGAAGCGGCAACAGCUCAAAUUUGAAAUCUGGCGUCUUCGGCGUCCGAGUUGUAAUUUGUAGAGGAUGCUUUUGGGCAGCCACCGGUCUAAGUUCCUUGGAACAGGACGUCAUAGAGGGUGAGAAUCCCGUAUGCGACCGGAAGGGCACCCUUCACAUAGCUCCUUCGACGAGUCGAGUUGUUUGGGAAUGCAGCUCUAAAUGGGAGGUAAAUUUCUUCUAAAGCUAAAUACCGGCCAGAGACCGAUAGCGCACAAGUAGAGUGAUCGAAAGAUGAAAAGCACUUUGGAAAGAGAGUUAAAAAGCACGUGAAAUUGUUGAAAGGGAAGCGCUUGCAACCAGACUUGUCUGCGGUGUUCCGCCGGUCUUCUGACCGGUCUACUCACCGUUUGCAGGCCAGCAUCGUUUGGGACCGCUGGAUAAAAGCUUAGGGAACGUGGCUCCUCGGAGUGUUAUAGCCCUAGGUGUAAUACAGCGAGUCUCGAGCGAGGUCCGCGCUUCGGCUAGGAUGCUGGCGUAAUGGUUGUAAGCGGCCCGUCUUGAAACACGGACCAAGGAGUCUAACAUCUAUGCGAGUGUUCGGGUGUAAAACCCCUACGCGUAAUGAAAGUGAACGGAGGUGGGG
rnacentral:rRNA from 1 species